CUUGAUCCAUAUUUAAUCUUAUAAAACUUACACACUGAAAGAAGUAAAUUCUCAUACCCAAGUUGUUUGAAACAUCCUUAAAAGUUUUCCAGUAAUUGAACUGAGUAAUGGUUUUAAGCUAAAAUUAAAAUUAACUAAUAGUAAAAAUUCAAUCCUUCAGUCACACUAGCUGCAUUUCAAGUACUCAGUAGCAACAUUUGGCCAGUGGCUACCAUAUUAGACAGCAAGACUUGUAGAAUGACUAAUAUGUUCAGUAAUUUAGUGAAUGCUCAAUAUUCAAUAAAUAUUUUUCUCCCCAAAGGGCAGAGAUGGAAAGAAGUAUGCUUGACUCUCCCUUCAGAUAGAUGGUUUGAAUGAUAGUUUUCAGUUGUUGUGUGUGACUACAUCUUCAGGGGCAAGUUGGCAUGAGAAGACCUGAGAUCCUGAUAAAAUGGACCCAGCACCGCCUAUCUGAGAUUUACUGAUGGAGGCAUGAAGACCAAGGAGCCUUAUGGACUUUUCUCACUUACCUGUUAAUCUAAAAAUAUUUCAUACCAAUGUUCAUCACAACUGGUUACUAGAAUUUGUAGGUCUGGACAAAGGAUGUGCAAAGUUUUCCACUUCUCUGACCCUUGAUUAGCCUGUUCACUAUCACCAAGGUAUUAUCAUUAGGUUCUGUCCACAUUUGCUAUGUUUUCUCAGUGUACUAAUAGUUGGUCUUUUAACUGACCUUAAUAUAUUAUUGGUUGAAUUCAUAGUCCAUGUUACCUUAAUAUAGGGAAGACUAUAUGGGGAUUCCCAGAUUCUAGAAACCAAAAUAGUAAAUUUUAAUUGCUCUUAAGAUAGGGAUUUUCCAAUCUGGACUUUCAAUAAAGGGAGUUCUUAUAAUUUUCAAAGACUACUGAAGAUAACUUUUGAGAAUAUGAAGAAGAAACAUAAAGAUGAAUCAAGUAAAGUAAUGAUGCAUUUAGUAAUUAUUCAGUGAAUUGGGAAUUUCAGGUCAUUUCUGCCAAACAAGCAAAAAUUGUUAGAAGUGAGGCUUCACAUAUAUUUCCCUAUUCUAUGCAAAGGUACAGAAUAGUAUGCCAUAAAUACCCAGGAAGUUAACCCUUUCCUGUUGCAGAAAUGGCAGUUUGCUCAGCAUGGGCCUAGAGAGUAUUCUAGUAUUCUAGGCUGUCUUGAAGUCCAUCUUUUGUUUCUGGGCCAAAGUUGGAGGCCAAGUUUGGUGUGCUCCUUCCCAUCCCUACCUCUUUUGGUUUAAAUGCAAGUUUUACACUGUCUGGAAUGUUUCAAAUAAUUAUUUUCCCUGUCUGGAAUGUUUCAAAUAAUGAUGGCCAGCUCAACAUGGUAAGAAAUAACUGUUGGUGAGCAUAUAGAAAAAAGGAAACCUUUGUCCACUGUUGAUGGGAAUGAUUAACAACUGUUGAUAUUUAUUGAGCACAUACUAUGCUCUGGGUUCUUUAUGCGUUAUCUCCUUUGAUUUUUGCUCAAUCCUUUGGACUAGGUACAUUUAUUAUUAGGGUUUUGGAGAUAUUGAACCUGAAGCUUAAAUAUUUAAUGAAUCUUCCAAGGUGAUCUAGCUAAAAGUUAUGGUAAAUGAUUCUAUUUAAUUUCAUGCAUUUCAUUAUUAGGAAGAGAGAAAUGCUGAGGAAUUUUGGUCUCUUGAAGCCUCCUAUCCUAUGAUUUGGUUAGUCUGCACCUUAAUGAGAUUUAUUAUAUGUAUAUUGGUUUUUUCUCAAACUAAAAUUAGAGUAUCAAACAUUUUAAAUAACAAAUUAGCAGUCAAAUUAAGAAAAUCCCAUUUAUAGUUGCAUCAAAAAGAAUUAAAUACUUAGGAAUAACUUUAACCAAGAAGAACAAAGACCUGUACUCUGAAAAUUUUGACAUUGCUGGAAGAAAUUGAAGAUGACAGAAAUAAAUGGAAAAAUAUACCAUACUCAUAGGUUGGAAGAAUUAAUGUUUUUUUUUCCUUUUAAAAAAUCCAUUUAUUUAUUUGUUUGUUUGUUUGAUAUCAUUAAUGUACAAUUACUUGAACAACAUUAUGGUUACUAGACUCCCCCUAUUAUCAAGUCCCCACCACAUAACCCAUUACAGUCACUGUCCAUCAGCAUAGUAAGAUGCUAUAGAAUCAUUGCUUCUCUUCUCUGUAGAUACUGCCUUUCCGUGUCCACCCUGCUACAUUAUGGGUGCUAAUUUUUAACACCCCAUUUUUCCUCCUUAUCCCUCCCUUCCCACCCAUCCUCCCCAGUCCCUUUCCCUUUGGUAGUUAGUCCAUUCUUGGGUUCUGUAAGUCUGCUGCUGUUUUGUUCCUUCAGUUUUUUCUUUGUUCUUAUACUCCACAGAUGAGUGAAAUCAUUUGAUACUUGUCUUUGUCCGCCUGGCUUAUUUCACUGAGCAUAAUACCCUCUAGCUCCAUCCAUGUUGUUGCAAAUGGUAGGAUUUGUUUUCUUCUUAUGGCUGAAUAAUAUUCCAUUGUGUAUAUGUAUCACAUCUUCUUUAUCCAUUCAUCUACUGAUGGACACUUAGGUUGCUUCCAUUUCUUGGCUAUUGUAAAUAGUGCUGCGAUAAACAUAGGGGAGGUGCAUAUGUCUUUUUCAAACUGGGCUACUGUAUUCUUAGGGGAAAUUACUAGGAGUGGAAUUCCGUGGUCAAAUGGUAUUUCUAGUUUUAGUUUUUUGAGGAACCUCCAUACUGCUUUCCACAAUGGUUGAACUAGUUUACAUUCCCACCAGCAGUGUAGGAGGGUUUCCCUGGAAGAAUUAAUGUUUAAGUUGGCCAUACCACCAGGAAUCCACAGAUUCAAUAUAAUCCCUAUCAAAUUCCAGUGGCAUUUUUCUAAGAAAUAGACAGAUGGAAUUCUAGAAAAUUAGAAUUAAUCCUAAGAUUUGUAUGGAACCACAAAAGACCCCGAAUAGCGAAAGCAAUUUUGGGAAAGAAAGAACAAAGCUGAAGGUAUCAUGUUCCCAGAAUUCAAACUACCACUACAAAGCUAUAAUAAUAAAAACAUUUUGGUAUUGUCAUAAAAACAGAUACAUAGAUCAAUAGAAUUGACCAGAACCCAGAAAUAAACCCAUGCUAUGGUUAAUUACAGCAAAGGAGGCAAAAAUAUAUAAUAAGGAAAAGACAAUCUCUUCGAUAAAUGGUGCUAAGAAAACUGGACAGCUUUAUGCAAAAGAAUGAAACUGGACCACUGUCUUACACCAUACACAAAAAUAAGCCCAAAAUGCAGUAAAGACCUAAAUGUAAGAUCUGAAACCUUAAAAUUCCUAAAAGAAAACAUAGGCAAUAAACUCUUAGACAUCAGCCUUGGCAACUUUUUUUUGGAUACAUCUUCCCAAGCUAGAGAAAAUAUACAAAAGUAAAUAAAUGGGAUUAUAUAAAAUUAAAAGGCUUCUGCACAGGAAGGAACCAUCAACAAAAUAAAAAGGCAAUCUAUGUAGGAGAAUAUAUUUUCAGGUUAUAUAACCAAUAAGGGGUUAAUGUCCAAAAUAUAUAAACAGCUAAUACUACUCAAAAAAACUAAUAAUCCAAUUGAAAAAUGGGCAGAGGAACUGAAUAGACAUUUUUCCAAAGAAGACAUACAGAUUGCCAACAGACUAUGAAAAGAUGCUUUACCUCACAAAUCAUAAGGGAAAUGCAAAUCAAACCCACAAUGAGUUAUUUCAUAUUAGUCAUGAUGGCCAGCUCAACAUGGUAAGAAAUAACUGUUGGUGAGGAUAUAGAAAAAAGGGAACCUUUAUGCACUGUUGAUGGAAUGUUAAAUGGUGCAGCCACUAUGGAAAACAGUAUGGAGGUUCUUCAAAAAGUUAAAUAUGGAAAUAUCAUAUAUCCCAGUAAUUCCACUUCUGGUUAUUUACCUGAAGGAAACAAAAACACUAAUCCUAAAAGACAUUUGCACCCCUAUGUUUAUUGAAGCAUUAUUUACAGUAGCCAAUAUAUGAAAAUGACCUAAGUGUCCUUCAGUGGAUGAAUGGAUAAAGAAGAUGUGAUGCAUAUACAAAAUGGAAUAUUACUCAGCAAUAAAAAGAGUGAAAUCUUGUCAUUUGCAAAAGUAUGGACCUUAGAGGCUAUUAUACUAAGUGAAAUAAUUCAGACAAAGAAAAAUACCAUAUGACUUCACUUAUGUGGAGUAAAAGACGAAACAAACAAAAAUAGACUCAUAAGUACAGAGAACAAAUUGGUGGUUGCCAUAGUGGGGGUGGCAGGGAUGAAUGAAAUAGCUGAAGGAGAGAAAGAGGUACAAACUUCCAAUUAUAUAAAAAAAAUAUUUAAAAGGAUUGAAAAAUACAGCAUGGAAAAUAUAGUCAAUAAUAUUGUGAUAACUUUGUAUGGCAAUCAAUGAUAACUAUACUUAUUGUGGUAAGCAUUUCAUAAUAUAUAUUAUUGUCAAAUCACUGUUACAUACCUGAAAUUAAUAUAAUAUUGUAUGUCAACUAUAUUUGAAUUAAAACAUUUUAUAUGUAAGCAGAAGUUCCUCUAAGCAUAAUUAUUUGCUCUAAUAAAAACUGAAUUAUUAUAAAAAUCA